GAAACUUUGAUAUAUUUGUUGAACGCCACGUUUCAGACCGUUGCAGUUUUAUAUAAUUAUAUAAAUUCUUUCCUUAUUCUUUUUUAAAGUCUCUCGGUUUUCUUCACUCUUACACCCUCGCAAGAAACUCAAAAGAAACAAUCUCGAAUUCUGCAGUUUUUUUUUUGAAAUUUUAUCUCGAAGAUUUCAUUCAUUCUUGGGCGCUCUUUCUCUCUGAUACAUCACGCGAUCCUUCGCUGUGCAUUUUCUUAUGUUCUGUUUUAUUUUAUUUUUUUAUAUUUGUUUCUGAGAUCUUAUUUUUGUCCCUCGACUGAAUUCAGGUAUCUUCGGCCCCUUUUGAUUUGUCACUGAAUUCUAUGGCGUUUAGGGCUUUUAACCAUGAAACCAGAAGAUUGCUUUUGAGAGAAUGGGGAAAUGGGGGUGAUUCUAGAGAACAUACCAUGUUACCCUCUACAAGAAUUGUGAUUGAGACCGUAAUCUAUCAUUCUGUCGUUUUGGAGUUUGAAUUCAUCGUAAUCUAUCUUUCCGUGGUUUUGGAGUUUGAAUUCAUGGGAGAUCGGUUCAUCCCUGUUCGGGCUGCAAUGGACAUGGAUGUCUCCUCAUAUUUGCUGCGAUCAAAGAAUCGGAAUAGUGAAAUGGUGGUUUCACCAUCUAAGGAAGAGUAUCGGAAACGGCUUGCUAAUAUUGUGUUAAAGGAUCACAACACUUCCGAAAAUCAUACUCGAAUCUUACAAUUUCAUGCAAAGCCUUGCAAACGCAAACAAAGCAGUGCUUUAGCUGAUGAUGAAGAACUGCUCCAAAUUCCUAAGAAACCACGUAAAUUGCUUCGCCAUAUUCCACAGACAGCUGAACGCACUCUUGAUGCUCCGGAUAUUGUGAAUGACUACUAUCUCAAUUUGCUCGACUGGAGCACAACAAAUGUUGUGGCAAUUGGCCUUGGGAAUACUGUGUAUUUGUGGAAUGCUUCCAAUUCUGCAAUAAACGAGCUGACGCAAGUUCACGAAGAUGAUGGGCCAAUUACAAGUGUUGCAUGGGCUCAAGAUGGGAAUCAUAUUGCUGUUGGUUUGAACAAUUCUGAAGUUCAAAUUUGGGAUCACUCAACAAUGAAAAAGGUGAGAUCCAUGAGGGGCCAUUCAGCUCGUGUUGGAUCAUUGGCAUGGCAUGGGUCCACAUUAUGCACAGGUGGUCGUGAUAGCAAAAUAUUGUAUCAUGAUGUACGCAAUAGAAAUCACAUCACAUCCCAACUGAGCGCUCAUGAACAAGAAGUGUGCGGGUUAAAGUGGUCACUAUGUGGUAAACAACUUGCUAGUGGGGGCAAUGACAACCUUCUUUAUAUAUGGGAUUCACGUUCCAUUACAUCUAGUCGGCAUCUCUUUCGUUUUGAUCAACACAAAGCAGCUGUGAAGGCUUUGGCUUGGUGUCCUUACCAAACCAAUUUGUUAGCUUCUGGUGGUGGUACAACUGAUAGAUGUAUCAAAUUUUGGAACACUCAGAGGGGCAUGCUUCUUAACAGCAUAGAUACAGGUUCUCAAGUAUGUUCACUGCAGUGGAAUCAUCAUGAACAAGAAAUCCUAAGCUCUCAUGGGUUUAGUGAAAAUCAACUUAUAUUGUGGAAGUAUCCAUCUAUGAGAAAGAUUACCGAAAUUAUGGGGCACACUUCUCGGGUUUUACAUAUGGCACAGAGUCCAGAUGGCUUUACAGUAGCAACUGCUGCUGCAGAUGAAACACUGCGAUUUUGGCAGGUGUUUGGACCAGCAGUCAGUACAACAACUCCAAGGAAGGGAAAAGAAAAAGAGACAGGAUUUUCUUCUUUCAAUCACGCUUAUAUAAGAUGAGUGUGCAGAUUUUGGUAUUGAUGUUUGUUGUCAUGGCCGAAGAGAUGAAGCAAAAGAUGUCGUGAUUACAACACCUAGAAGAAAAUGUAGAAGAUAAUUUAUUCUAGAUGGACAUGCAAUUUAGAUCAAUGGUUAUUGUUAUGUAUUUAUACUGGACGGAACGGGAAAUUACAUCUGGUUAUCCUUGUCUUGUAUUUAUCCGAAUGUGACACAUAAUUACUUCAGGUUGCUUCUUAUAUCCAACAUUUUGGUUAAAAAAAAAGAAGAAGGAAUCGUGAACCAUCCCAUAGAACCCAAUUCAGAUGAGGAGAUGAUAGCAGUUCAUUUUUUCUAGAAAGCAGGUAAGCUACAAUCCAAAUUUUGGAUGUUGUGUUGCCUUAAUGCCCCGAAUCCAACAAAGUCAAGAGAGGGACAAGGGAAUAAUGCCAUCUUUAGGGGUGGAGAACACCACUCCGGCACCGCCUCUCUCUGACUGGAAAGCCCCAUGAAAGUACGUCUUCCAGUCGUUUGGUGCUUCUGUAUAGAACACUUUUUCAUCCAGGAGGUCAUUUGAUAAGGGAGAAUCUGACAGUAAGGGAUGUGCAGCUAGAGAGUCGGCUAGGGCUUGGCCUUUGAUGGCUUCUGCGGCACAUAAGUUAUGUCAAAUUCCAUAAGUAAUAGUGACCACUUCGCCAGAUGUCCCGAUAAACAAGGGCGCGGCAUGAGGAAUUUGAUGGGGUCAGCUCAUGAAAUGAGUUGGACUUCAUGGGCGAGCAAGUAGUGGCGGAGCUUUUGGACCGCGAAGAUCAAGCCCAGGCACAUCUUCUCAAUCGGGAAGUAAUUCUUCUCAGCCCCUUGCAUCCUACGACUAAGGUAGUACAAGGCGGUCUCUUUCCCUUCUUCAUUAUGCUGUGCGAGGAGAGCACCAAGUGCCUCAUCUAGAGUGGUCACACGUAGAAUGAGAGCCUUCCCGGGUAUAGGAGCAGAAACAACCGGAGGGUUCAAUAGAUAGGUUUUGAUGUCCACCAAAGCCAACUAUGCACCUAUUGACAUACUUUGUAACUUGUCCAAAUAAUCCUUACGCAUUUUUGAAGCAUGCCUAUUGACAUACUUUGUAGUUUGUCCAAAUCCUUGAGCAUUUUUGGAUUUGUAUGUAUAUUAUGGAUGGAUAAAGAAAGGCAUAAUACCUCUUUUACUAUUUUAGAGUCAUAAUUUGGACUUUUAAAUACUUUGUAACUUGUCCAAUAAUCCUUAAGCAUUUUUGGAACAUGCCUAUUGACAUACUUUGUAACUUGUCCAAAUAAUCCUUGAGCAUUUUUGGAUUUGUAUGUAUAUUAUGGAUGGAUGCAGAAAGGCAUAAUACCUCUUUUACUAUUUUAGAGUCCUAAUUUGGACUUUUAAAUACUUUGUAACUUGUCCGUAUAAUCCUUAAGCAUUUUUGGAA